rnacentral:rRNA from 1 species
AACCCGCCUGCAUGAAGCCGGAAUCGCUAGUAAUCGCGGAUCAGAACGCCGCGGUGAAUACGUUCCCGGGUCUUGUACACACCGCCCGUCACACCAUGGGAGCCGGAAACGCCCGAAGCCAGCGGCCCAACCGCAAGGGGGGAGCUGUCGAGGGCGGGGCCGGUGACCGGGGUGAAGUCGUAACAAGGUACC